CUCUUGGCCGGGCCCCUGCAGGAGCCAUUGCGGGCGCCCGAGUUUCUGAGAGUGUGGUGCACCGUGAGCUGCUACAGGCCCUCUCCUUUGGCUGCUGACCACCCAGUGAAGAGUCCCACAGGCCAUCUGGGGUCGCAGAGAUUGUUGUUGAGGCCUGGGUGGUCACUUCUCAUUUCCUUAUGAUCUGUUCCUUCUUACUUCACAUUCCUGACACUGUGAUUAACUUCUGGUGUUAGCAAGCAUGAUUAUCUGAAACAAGG